rnacentral:rRNA from 1 species
CUACGGGACUGCAGUGGGGAAUAUUGCACAAUGGGCGCAAGCCUGAUGCAGCCAUGCCGCGUGUAUGAAGAAGGCCUUCGGGUUGUAAAGUACUUUCGGCGGGGAGGAAGGGAGUAAAGUUAAUACCUUUGCUCAUUGACGUUACCCGCAGAAGAAGCACCGGCUAACUCCGUGCCAGCAGCCGCGGUAAUACGGAGGGUGCAAGCGUUAAUCGGAAUUACUGGGCGUAAAGCGCACGCAGGCGGUUUGUUAAGUCAGAUGUGAAAUCCCCGGGCUCAACCUGGGAACUGCAUCUGAUACUGGCAAGCUUGAGUCUCGUAGAGGGGGGUAGAAUUCCAGGUGUAGCGGUGAAAUGCGUAGAGAUCUGGAGGAAUACCGGUGGCGAAGGCGGCCCCCUGGACGAAGACUGACGCUCAGGUGCGAAAGCGUGGGGAGCAAACAGGAUUAGAUACCCUUGUAGUC